AGCGGCAACAGCUCAAAUUUGAAAUCUGGCCCCCUCGGGGCCCGAGUUGUAAUUUGCAGAGGGAGCUUUUGGCGUCGGUCGUGGUCUAAGUUCCUUGGAACAGGACGUCACAGAGGGUGAGAAUCCCGUACGUGGCCGCCGGCCUUCGCCUUGUAAAGCCCCUUCGACGAGUCGAGUUGUUUGGGAAUGCAGCUCUAAAUGGGAGGUAAAUUCCUUCUAAAGCUAAAUACCCGCCAGAGACCGAUAGCGCACAAGUAGAGUGAUCGAAAGAUGAAAAGCACUUUGGAAAGAGAGUGAAAAAGCACGUGAAAUUGUUGAAAGGGAAGCGCUUGCGGCUAGACGUGCCCGCGGUUGAUCAUCCAGGCUCCGGCCUGGUGCACUCCUCCGCGGGCAGGCCAGCAUCAGUUCGGGCGGUCGGAUAAAGGCCUCUGUCACGUACCACCCCUCGGGGUGGCCUUAUAGGGGAGGCGCAACACGGCCAGCCCGGACUGAGGUUCCGCGCAUCUGCUAGGAUGCUGGCGUAAUAGCAGCAAGCGGCCCGUCUUGAAACACGGACCAAGGAGUCUAACAUCUAUGCGAGUGUUUGGGUGUCAAGCCCGAGCGCGCAAUGAAAGUGAACGGAGGUGGGAACCCUCACGGGUGCACCAUCGACCGAUCCUGAUGUCUUCGGAUGGAUUUGAGUAAGAGCAUAGCUGUUGGGACCCGAAAGAUGGUGAACUAUGCCUGAAUAGGGUGAAGCCAGAGGAAACUCUGGUGGAGGCUCGCAGCGGUUCUGACGUGCAAAUCGAUCGUCAAAUUUGGGCA
rnacentral:rRNA from 1 species